ACUCCUGCGGGAGGCAGCAGUGGGGAAUUUUGGACAAUGGGCGAAAGCCUGAUCCAGCAAUGCCGCGUGAGUGAAGAAGGCCUUCGGGUUGUAAAGCUCUUUUGUCAGGGAAGAAACGGUGAGAGCUAAUAUCUCUUGCUAAUGACGGUACCUGAAGAAUAAGCACCGGCUAACUACGUGCCAGCAGCCGCGGUAAUACGUAGGGUGCAAGCGUUAAUCGGAAUUACUGGGCGUAAAGCGUGCGCAGGCGGUUUUGUAAGUCUGAUGUGAAAUCCCCGGGCUCAACCUGGGAAUUGCAUUGGAGACUGCAAGGCUAGAAUCUGGCAGAGGGGGGUAGAAUUCCACGUGUAGCAGUGAAAUGCGUUGAUAUGUGGAGGAACACCGAUGGCGAAGGCAGCCCCCUGGGUCAAGAUUGACGCUCAUGCACGAAAGCGUGGGGAGCAAACAGGAUUAGAAACCCGAGUAGUCCC
rnacentral:rRNA from 1 species